rnacentral:rRNA from 1 species
CAGCAGCCGCGGUAAUACAGAGGGUGCGAGCGUUAAUCGGAUUUACUGGGCGUAAAGCGUGCGUAGGCGGCUUUUUAAGUCGGAUGUGAAAUCCCUGAGCUUAACUUAGGAAUUGCAUUCGAUACUGGGAAGCUAGAGUAUGGGAGAGGAUGGUAGAAUUCCAGGUGUAGCGGUGAAAUGCGUAGAGAUCUGGAGGAAUACCGAUGGCGAAGGCAGCCAUCUGGCCUAAUACUGACGCUGAGGUACGAAAGCAUGGGGAGCAAACAGGAUUAGAUACCCCGGUAGUCCCUGUCUCUUAUCA